UACGUAGGGGGCAAGCGUUGUCCGGAUUUAUUGGGCGUAAAGAGCGUGUAGGCGGCCAGGUAGGUCAGCUGUGAAAACUCGAGGCUCAACCUCGAGACGCCGGUUGAAACCAUCUGGCUAGAGUCCGGAAGAGGAGAGUGGAAUUCCUGGUGUAGCGGUGAAAUGCGCAGAUAUCAGGAAGAACACCCGUGGCGAAGGCGGCCCACUGGUCCGGUACUGACGCUGAGGUGCGAAAGCGUGGGGAGCAAACAGG
rnacentral:rRNA from 1 species